rnacentral:rRNA from 1 species
UACGUAGGUGGCAAGCGUUGUUCGGAUUCAUUGGGCGUAAAGGGUGCGUAGGCGGCGCGGUAAGUCGGGUGUGAAAUCUCGGAGCUUAACCUCGGAACUGCAUUCGAUACUGCGGCGCUUGAGGACUGGAGAGGAGACUGGAAUUCAUGGUGUAGCAGUGAAAUGCGUAGAGAUCAUGAGGAAGACCAGUGGCGAAGGCGGGUCUCUGGACAGUUCCUGACACUGAGGCACGAAGGCCAGGGGAGCAAACGGG